GCGGCGGCUGCUUCGCGCAGUGAGGCCGGGUCCGCGCCGCGUCCUGCAGCGGCGCUGCCCCUCCCCUUCGCCCAGAUGCGUUAAUCCUCCCACAACAAAUCCUUCAACCUGCUCCCCGCCGCCACCCUCCCAGAGCGUCAACUUCUUUCGGCCUGGCCGGGUCUGGUGCUGAGGGGGCUGUUGGCUGCGGUGUCUAGGCGGGAAGUAGCGGCGCGGAAGCGGCGGCUGCGGCGGUGGGGGCAUGGGGGACCGCGAGCGAAGAGUCCGGGCAGCAUGUCCGUAGCUUGCUGGGCUUGUGCUGGUUCUGCUCCUGCAGACGAGCCCAGAGCACGGUGCGCGAGCAAGCUGCGUGUGCGUGUGUGUGUGUGUGUGUUUGGGGGGAAAGGGACGAAGAGAAGGGUUAGGGAAGGGGGAUGGGUGAUGAAAUAGGGUGCAGCCCUGGGAUCCCGACCGGCCGGGAAGGCCGAGUGGCAGAAGGGUCGGAGGAGGAGGGACGCCGAGCCGCCGACUCACUGCCUGCCGCCCGGCACCCGCCUCUCAAGGACCUGCAAGGGCCGGAGCGUGGGGAGUUACGGAAUAGACCCUGCUCCGGAAAAGGGACCGGGCUGCUGCUGGAGUUGGUGGGAAAACUGGGAACCGGAGGGAUUAGGGAGUUACCCUUGCUGCUUCAAACUGUUGUUCGUUUUCGCUCAAGAAAUUAAAGGAUCGGAGACAAUUUCUGUGUUCAAGUACCUCAGCCUCAAGGACCGUCCCGGCUGGGCGUGGAUUCCCGGAGGUGGAUGCUCCAGCCCCUGCUGUGGAACGCCGGCCAGAAGCUGUGCUUUGGCUCCUGUAACCUGCGGAGAGACACGCUUCGGAGCCCGCUGCUGCCACCUGCGGGUCGAAAGCUGAAGAGCGAAGUACCUGGUCCAGGUGGCGUUCCCUGGGGCUUAGGUAUUCGGGAACCGAGGGUCAAGGUGUUUUAUAGUCCUGGGUCACUUGUUAAAGCAAUUCUAACCAGUUUUCCCAGGAAGUGAAGAUGUGAUGUAGAGGUCCGCUGAGAUACCGAGUCGUUGGUAUGAAGUGGCAAAAUUGGUAAGAGAACGCUGUAGGAAACUGUAUAGCCAGUGUCUUCCCACACCCCCUUAAGAGAUUAAGACUGAUGAAACCACAUGGAGCAAAGAGCUUUCCCUAGGAAAUGGGAUUUGGCCCUACUGAUAAAGUGGUAUUUGUGUAGGAUAAUGUUAUGCUGGGAACCACAAAGCAGGAUCCCAAAUGACUGCUUCCUUUGAGUAAAUAUUUUGACAUAUCAAAAUGACUAACUAUAAAGAAAGUGAAUGGAACCCUAGUCUCCAGAAGCCUGGAACUGAAUUUUCAGAAAUGACUUGUCAGUUGUAGACAACCGAAAGGCAUUUGAUUUGUUACGUUUAUAGAAUGUGGGUAUUCUAUUACUAUAAUGAGACUGUCUGCUUUUAAUCGCCCCAUUUGUAAAUGGACUUUUCUCUGCAGUGUCUUCCAAAGUGUAGUCAAAUUACAAGGGCUCAGUAUGUGCUCUUAGCCAUCGCAGGCCCUAGCAAGUGAGACUGAAGCCAGAGGCAUCUAGGGGCAGUGUUUCUUUUAAUUAUUAUUAUUCUGUUGUUACACACAGGUUAGCUGUCCAAUAGUUGCUGGUGAUGCAGGUAUUUUGUAUUGCCAAGCAAAAAGAAAGCUGUAAGUUGAUGCUUUCUAGUGCUUGAAGAAGCUGCUGCCAUGUUGUGAAAAGCAUCCUAUUACCUUUUUAAAUUCGUAAUUGCAACAGUGCAUUUCUGUGGAUCUCUCUGGAAUCCUGCAUUAGUUUCCCUGCAGCCAGCAACAGUCUGGGUGGUCUUUAGGCUGCACACGUAAAAGGAAAGCAUAACGCUGGCUGUAGCUGACUCUCAGCACCCCACCCAUAGUCCCUGGACUCAGUAUAUGGCCAUCUUCCUUCUGCAUGCACCUGGGACUGUCUGCAGGCUUUUUCUACCCACAGGAGGUACUUGACUGGUAGUGAAGCUCAGUAAGCCACUUCACUCAAACCCUUGUGGCAGGGCUGCCUCUGGAGAAGCCCAGAAGAAGGCAAUCUUUCAAGGGCUUUUAUUCAUGAUCUGGCACCAUUGGCACUGUGUUAUUGGAAGAAUAAACCAGAAGCAUGUUCGGUGUUGAACAUUUACUGCGUGCACCCACUGCCUUACAUUCUACACUUACAUCGUCUCGUUCAUUACUCCGGAAACUGGAUACAUUUCUAGAGGUGAAUGUGUGAGACCAAGAAUGGACAAGACUGUGGCACUUUUGAUAAAUAAAAACCGAAUUCCUCUGAGGACUUUUAUCAGUUAACAUCUGUACGGAAUGUACUUGCCAUUUCCCCUGUGCCUUUGUAAGUAAUGAUAUUAGCAUUUUCAAGGAACUUUUUCAUCUUCUAUUUUAAUUUGCAUUUUUUGUACAGUGAUUACUUACUAGAUACCUACUAAAUAUGCCAAGAUGGUCCAUGGCUUUUAUAUCACACUGACUCUCACUUUUCUUUGGUGAUUCCUCCUGAAAGUUCAAGUCAAUUUCUAAUAAUAUUAUCCAGUGACAGAUUCUAUAGUACAGACCAUAACAGUAAAAAUCCAUUUAUCUAUGUGACCAAAAUGCUGGCCUUCAGAGAUGUUGAUAAGCCAAGAUGACAGAUUAUACCACGAUAAAAAUCAGAGCUGUGUUACGAUCAGUGCCUAAUCAUUCAUGUUUUUGUAUUAAAUGCCAUUUGGGUUAUAGCCUUCUAAAUUAAAUUAUUUAAAUUUGUGAUCGAUGUAAACUUCAUAAGAUCGGGUAAAGUGCCCUGAAUAUGCCGAGAUCUCAGUACCUAUAGGCUGGUGAUCAAUUGCACAUAUUAACUUAAAUAUGUUUCACAUUUUAAUCAU